CAGUAUUAGGCUCAACCAGGGCAUCAUCUGCAUCAACCUCUGUAGCAGCGGGUGUCAGCACUCCUGGAGAAAAAGGCACUGGAGCCACAAGUUCUGGAGUUACAACUAGACAAAUAUCCACUGAUGAGGAGGGCAGCACACCCAGAGGACAAGCAACUAGAACCACAAGUCCAGGUACCUCAGGUUCAACAGAGGGAUCUGUGGAAACCUCUACAGUAGCUGGCAAAGGAAGCUCACCUGGAACAUCAGGCACUGAACCUGCCAGCACUGUUACAGCAGCAG